GACGAACCGUGCGAACGUUGUUCGGAAUCACUGGGCUUAAAGGGCGCGUAGGCGGCCCGCCGCGUCCGGGGUGAAAUCCUCCCGCUCAACGGGAGAACGGCCUCGGAUACGGGCGGGCUGGAGGGGGGUAGGGGCAGGCGGAACUGUGGGUGGAGCGGUGAAAUGCGUUGAGAUCCACAGGAACUCCGGUGGCGAAGGCGGGUCUCUGGACAGUUCCUGACGCUGAGGCACGAAGGUCAGGGGAGCAAACGGG
rnacentral:rRNA from 1 species